rnacentral:rRNA from 1 species
UAGUUAGCUUGCUAAUAUAUUUAGUAGCAAAUGGGUGAGUAACACGUACCUAACCUACCUUUUGGACCGGGAUAACUAUUGGAAACAGCAGCUAAUACCGGAUAAAAUAAAAAAAUGCAUGUUUUUUUAUUAAAAGGAGCCUUUAAAGCUCCACCAAAAAAUGGGGGUGCGCAACAUUAGUUAGUUGGUAGGGUAAAGGCUUACCAAGACGAUGAUGUUUAGCGGGGCCAAGAGGCUGUACCGCCACACUGGGAUUGAGAUACGGCCCAGACUCCUACGGGAGGCAGCAGUAAGGAAUAUUCCACAAUGAGCGAAAGCUUGAUGGAGCGACACAGAGUGCAG